rnacentral:tRNA from 1 species
UGUAGGAUAAGCUAAGCCAAGCUGUUGGGCUCAUAACCCAAAAAUGAAUUUUAAAUUCUCCUACAA